UACGAAGGGGGCUAGCGUUGCUCGGAAUCACUGGGCGUAAAGCGCACGUAGGCGGCUUUUUAAGUCAGGGGUGCAAUCCUGGAGCUCAACUCCAGAACUGCCUUUGAUACUGAGAAGCUUGAGUCCGGGAGAGGUGAGUGGAACUGCGAGUGUAGAGGUGAAAUUCGUAGAUAUUCGGAAGAACACCAGUGGCGAAGGCGGCUCACUGGCCCGGUACUGACGCUCAUGUGCGAAAGCGUGGGGAGCAAACAGG
rnacentral:rRNA from 1 species